rnacentral:lncRNA from 1 species
GGGCCUUCACUGCUUCUCCUCCCAGACAGCAAUGGCUUUGUUUUAAUGACUGUUUUUCAACAUUGAACUAUAUAGCAUUUACUCAAUUAACUGUCAGCAAAAUAAUGUCACCUGCUUAAUUUCAAACACUGGUGAGGGUGGGGAGUACCACCAUCUUAGAGGUGAAGCUGGAAAAACGUGGUGAGAUGGAUUCAUACUGUACAAGAUGUGAGGAAUAUCCUUUUUAUCACAAGAAAGACUAUGAGAAUCCACCAAUGGAGGAGUGGCUAUUCACAAAGUCUUUCAGGGCUGGGUGUUUAUUCAAGUCCUUAAGCCAUCUGGAACUGUGGGCUGGACUUGGACAUCCUCUUCCUUGGAGCUCUUCCCCCUUUUCCCUUCCAAGAUGGACAGUGGAAGAUUCAGUAAACAUUAUUACUGUUUCGAUCUGAUGGGAUUCUGGGAGAGAGACACCUGGUUAAGUUCACACCCGUGAUUAUCAUUUUUACUGAGAGAACCAUGCCAUGGAACUCAAGAUGCUCCUACUGACAUGUGUGACUAUCUCCAUAUCCACAAGUAGAACUAAUGUGAUCAGGCCUCCCUGCCUUUCUAGAUUCUGGUAUGUAUCAAAGUAUGUAAGCGAUGUCUUGAAAAAUAAAUUUAUACUAUGAAGAUAUGACA